rnacentral:rRNA from 1 species
AACGCUAGCUACAGGCUUAACACAUGCAAGUCGAGGGGCAGCAUGAUUGAAGCUUGCUUCAAUUGAUGGCGACCGGCGCACGGGUGAGUAACACGUAUCCAACCUUCCGCUUACUCGGGGAUAGCCUUUCGAAAGAAAGAUUAAUACCUGAUGGUAUCUUAAGCACACAUGUAAUUAAGAUUAAAGAUUUAUCGGUGUACGAUGGGGAUGCGUUCCAUUAGGUAGUAGGCGGGGUAACGGCCCACCUAGCCUACGAUGGAUAGGGGUUCUGAGAGGAAGGUCCCCCACAUUGGAACUGAGACACGGUCCAAACUCCUACGGGAGGCAGCAGUGAGGAAUAUUGGUCAAUGGACGAGAGUCUGAACCAGCCAAGUAGCGUGAAGGAUGAAGGUCCUACGGAUUGUAAACUUCUUUUAUAAGGGAAUAAAACCUCCCACGUGUGGGAGCUUGUAUGUACCUUAUGAAUAAGCAUCGGCUAACUCCGUGCCAGCAGCCGCGGUAAUACGGAGGAUGCGAGCGUUAUCCGGAUUUAUUGGGUUUAAAGGGAGCGCAGACGGGUCGUUAAGUCAGCUGUGAAAGUUUGGGGCUCAACCUUAAAAUUGCAGUUGAUACUGGCGUCCUUGAGUGCGGUUGAGGUGUGCGGAAUUCGUGGUGUAGCGGUGAAAUGCUUAGAUAUCACGAAGAACUCCGAUUG